rnacentral:ncRNA from 1 species
AAAGUUUGAUUCUAACUUAAACUUUAGCUCCAUCUCCUUCGCCACAUGUAAGUUAUCAACGCCCCAGUGAAAACACAUUAUAAAAGCUCCUUAUAAUGAAAAUAAUAAUACCUCUUCACGACCCUCAGUGCCUAACAUUAUUAAUUCUAUGAAAUUAGGAAAUAGAGAGAGAUAAAAAAGGUGGUAAAUAACGUGCCAGCAACCGCGGUUACACGUUAACCUUUAGCUAAAGAACCCGGUUAAAAAAGGAAGAAAUAACAAAAUUUUUACAAAACCAACCCAUAGCAGUAACAAGCUAAUAAAUAAACAAUGUAAAAAAAAAAUCCACCUAAAAAGAAAAGAAAUAAACCGGGAUUAGAUACCCCGCUAUACAUUAACUAAAACCUUAAAAACCAGAGUAGUAAAGACAAAACCGAAACUUAAAGAACUUGGCGGUUUCUCAAACCUUCUUAGAGGAGCUUGUUGUCUAAUCGAUAAUCCACGAGAAACCUCACUAAUCUUAGAAAAACAGCCUGUAUACCAUCGUCGCCAGCCUACCUUCCAAGAAAGUAGACCUAAAGGACAUCCACCCCAACGUCAGAUCAAGGUGCAGCCAAUAGAUUAGGGACUAAUGAGCUACCCUACUUAAAAACAGAGAACCUAACCCCUAAAAAGUUAAAGAAAAAGGAUUUAAUAGUACCUCCUUAAAGAAAUAAGAAAGAGAAAAAAGCUCUGAGAAACGUACACAUCGCCCGUCACUCUCCUCCAAAGAAGAGAAAAGUCGUAACAAAGUAGGUGUACCGGAAGGUGCCACCUAGAACA